GAUGAACGCUGGCGGCGUGCCUAAUACAUGCAAGUCGAGCGAACGGACGAGAAGCUUGCUUCUCUGAUGUUAGCGGCGGACGGGUGAGUAACACGUGGAUAACCUACCUAUAAGACUGGGAUAACUUCGGGAAACCGGAGCUAAUUCCGGAUAAUAUUUUGAACCGCAUGGUUCAAAAGUGAAAGACGGUCUUGCUGUCACUUAUAGAUGGAUCCGCGCUGCAUUAGCUAGUUGGUAAGGUAACGGCUUACCAAGGCAACGAUGCAUAGCAGACCUGAGAGGGUGAUCGGCCACACUGGAACUGAGACACGGUCCAGACUCCUACGGGAGGCAGCAGUAGGGAAUCUUCCGCAAUGGGCGAAAGCCUGACGGAGCAACGCCGCGUGAGUGAUGAAGGUCUUCGGAUCGUAAAACUCUGUUAUUAGGGAAGAACAUAUGUGUAAGUAACUGUGCACAUCUUGACGGUACCUAAUCAGAAAGCCACGGCUAACUACGUG
rnacentral:rRNA from 1 species